GAGAUCAUUGAAGGGGGAGUGAUGGGAGAUGGAAGGGAAUCCUCUCCGCUGUGUAAACAGCUCAGUCACGGCUGCCUCCUCCCGCUGCUUCCGUCUCGUCCGGCCCAAGCCGGGAUUUGGGGGCCCACAGCCACAGGGAGGGGGACAGCACCGGGGCCAAGACGAAGGGACAGAGGGUUCAGGCUGGCCUGAGGGCAACCCCCAGCUCCACCUUUUCUAAGCUGUGUGACUGUGGGCAAGUUACUUAACCUCUCUGAGCCCCAGUGCUGACCAGGUUGUUGAGAAGGAGGAGGGCGCACUCUUGCGGGCAGCCCCUCCCACCAGCAGGUGUUUCCUGCCGCGUCCCAGCCUCUCCUGGGUGGAGCUCCGGAUACAGCUGCCGCCCGCCCACCCGGAAGGGACUGACAUUUAGUUGGGGCUCACUGGCUACCAGGCCCUUCUCUGUGCUCACAGCCACCCUGCCCAGGAGGAAGCUCUAAGACCCACUUGUCUGCGGUUUGCUUCACAGAUGAGGCAACUGAGUCAUGGAGCUGGUGAGUGGCACAGCAGGGUCAUGGCCCCCGAAGAACCUGGCUGUGGAACCUUCGCUCCUUAUCACAUUCCUCCUCAUCAGCAUCUUGCCGGAUCCUCCUGCCCCCUCCGGGAUGUCGUGCAGGUCAGUCCACUGAGGCUCAGGGAGUCUAGAACCUUCCCCAAGGCUGCGUGGCCAGCACAGGACAGACACAGCAGCCUUUGGCACCUGUACGUUUGCGCAGCCCAAAUCCAGCGGGGGAGACGGAUGUUCAGUAGGCAGAGCUCGGAUGUUUCUGGAUUAUAGUCACGGCCAAUGUUGUGCGGCAAAGGGCAAGGGCUCGGAGUGCACGUAACAGGGAGAACUGACUGGUGGCUGAGCCAGAGCCAGCCUGGUGGCCUGGAGACUGGGCCAGGAGGACACACGGAGGGUUUUUCAGGCAGCAGCCUGGUCAGGGUUUGGCAAGGGUGCGUGGGGACACCUCUCUGCGUGGGCCCUCGCCUGCCACGCCGGGAUUCCAACCCAAGGGCUCCCACCGGCUAGAAGGCAACGUGACGGAUUGCCAAGGGACUGACCAGCGUGGCCACGGAGGCCGACGGCAGCACGCUGGCCUCAGUCGAGCCCCCCAGCCUGGCCCGAGGUGCCCUUACCGUGACCCGAACCGCUUAUAUGCCCCCAGAGGAGUCGGGGUAAUUCGGUCUCUGUGUUUACUCCUGCCGCGGGCGCCUCUGAACGUUUCAUCUUGACUGCUGACUGUAUCAAAAUUCCCGUGGUAAUUGGAUCAGGUGCAGUAUUUUCCAUGAGGAUAUUAAAUCAGGCCUUCUGCCCGCGUCCAGAACGAUCCGUUUCCGAAUAUAAAGACGCAGGAGAUGGCAUUACCCAAGGUAUUUUUCCUCCUUUAAACUUUCUCCCCCCAACUUUAUCAUGGCAGUUCUUCAUUUGCUGCCGAAUAAAUUGGGUCCUCCUCCCCUGCCCCAGUUAUUAGCCAAAGGGAAGGAAAGGAAAGAUUCUUGCAGGCUGAUGAGGGACGCCAGGGGCAUGGGGGAGACGGGCGGAGCCAAAGUUUGCCCAGGGGACCUGAGGACCCAGGCAGAGCGGCCAGCAGGGGGCGGGGAGGGGGAGCCCCACCAGACGCUUCCCUCCCCGGGAAGGGUGCUGGGCACAUCUGCCAACCUUCAAGGUGGGACAUUUCACCAUCCGUAAACACCGGAGAAGAGAAGUUCAAGGGCACACGAAGACCCGGGGCUGGGAGGGAGCCGGAAAGGACCUCAGAGGCACAUCGGUUGCUAAAGAGAGAAAGUGAGGCCACGUCACAGGCUGAUGAGGCCACGUCCGAAAGGCUGUCGUUUGGAACAAGCCGGGGACGGUGGCUGCUCAGCAGCGUGGAUGCUCCACACGCCGCCAGGUUGCGCACUUUCAAAAUGGCUCAUUUUGUGCUGCGUCAAUUUCACCUCCACCUUAAAAAGAGUCAGGUCAAAAUGCCACGUUACCCGCCGCUGACUCCUUUCAGUUGUCCCACCCACGCUGGCUGAGCCUCUGUCCUAUGCCAGGCGCCGAUCUAGGUCCCAGGAUGGAGGUGAAGUUGACAUAGGACCCACGAGAAAACAGACACGGGAGAACACAAGCGACGCGACUGCAGGUUGCCGAAAUUCUAGAACCUGCGAGAUGACCCGAGGGGACAGAAGUGCAGCUUCCGUUGCAGGGGUGCCCACGACGGGGACGUAGCACUAAGGAAUGCGUGCAUAGAUUCAUCAAGCCGCACGCUUACCGUGUGCAUUUUACUGAAUGGAAAGGAUACCUGGGCAGAAAACUGACAUAGAGAGAGAGGAGGGAGUGAUGGCUCCGACCAGGGGUUAGCGGGGCAGGUGGGCAGGGGGAGGGGGGGGAGAGGGCCUGGAGAAGCUAACUCUCCCCCUCCCACCCCCCGGGGCCUGGGCACACUGCAGAGCCAGCCUCCUCCUGCCCUUUCCUGUAGACUCUGCUCCUUGCUUGGGGUGGAGGCAGCGUCCGGGCACGCAGAUGCCUGCCUCGGUGGGGGGCAGGUGGCCGGAGGAAGCCGUUAUUUAUUUUGGGGACCCAGCCUGUUUGUCUAGUGGGGGAGGAGCCCGUGGUGAGCGUCGUGGGACCAGAUUCCUGAUUAUAACUUCAUAACGGGCACUGGCUAUUCGGGAGGCGCUGAUAUUUAUGGAAUAAAUACGACGCGAUUUAUGGCCGUA